GAUGAACGCUGGCGGCGUGCUUAACACAUGCAAGUCGAGCGAGUGAGUUCUUCGGAACGAUCUAGCGGCGGACGGGUGAGUAACACGUGGGCAACCUGCCUCAUAGAGGGGAAUAGCCUCCCGAAAGGGAGAUUAAUACCGCAUAAAAUUAUCGAGUGGCAUCACAUGGUAAUCAAAGGAGUAAUCCGCUAUGAGAUGGGCCCGCGGCGCAUUAGCUAGUUGGUGAGGUAACGGCUCACCAAGGCGACGAUGCGUAGCCGACCUGAGAGGGUGGUCGGCCACAUGGGGACUGGGACACGGCCCAGACUCCUACGGGAGGCAGCAGUGGGGAAUAUUGCACAAUGGGGGAAACCCUGGUGCAGCAACGCCGCGUGAGUGAUGAAGGUCUUCGGAUUGUAAAGCUCUGUCUUUGGGGACGAUGAUGACGGUACCCAAGGAGGAAGCCACGGCUAACUACGUGCCAGUAGCCGCCGUAA
rnacentral:rRNA from 1 species